GGGAGGGAGAGGGAACUGGGAUUGACAUGUAAAACAAGAUUGUUUCUAAUUUAAAUUAAAAAUUAUUAAAAAGAAAAGAAAACACAGAAACAAAAAAAAUAUAAAAGAAAAAGGAACAGUGAACCUCAGUGGUAAGUUAGACAAUGUUCCCAAUGGGAUGGUAGACACAGGAAAACAUGAAUAAUAGCAUAAUUUAUCCAGGUAAGUGCAAUAUAACAGUCAAAAGAUUAAGUCUUCCAAGGCUUUUGACUAGAUAGUUCUCUAUCUCAGAACUUAAAGAAAGAAAGCUAAGAGGAUAUUUGAAAAUGUGGAGUUCUAUAUUCUCUCUGUGUGAGAGGACCUCUAUCUACAAGAACCCCUUUAGAGAUGAAAAUACUUCAUACUGAUAGACAUCACUUAUCUGCUAAAGUGUUAUUAUGGAAUAACGCAAUGUCAAGGGGAAAAGUUCUCAAUAUUAGAUGGACAAAGUCUAUAUAAAAGUACAUAAAAUUUAUCCUAUAGGAAAAAUCAUUUGUAUACCUGCCUGUAUGGAAAAUUGGGAAAGUUACCUACCAUCUCAAAACAUUUACCAUUUCUCUACUGUGCAAUUUAAAGAAAAUAUUUCUUUUAGAUGCCUUGAAAUAUGGAAUUCAUUAUUUCCUAUUUUCAUCCUACCAUGCAAUAGAAUACCAAACUCUAACUUUUCCCUAAUUACAUCUGUUACCUUGGCAGUAUCUCCAUACCCCCUGUCCUUUCCAGUAUGUGGUAACCUCUGAUUUACUUUGGACCUCAUGAAAUACAAUAUGAAUAGAGAUUUAUUUUUAUGUAUAUGUGUUUAUGCAUUUAUAUACACACACCAGAGGUGUGUGUGUGUGUGUGUGUGUGUGUGUGUGUGUGUGUGUGUGUGUGUGUGUGUGUGUGCCCAUGGAUGCCAAAAGAGGCUGUUAGAUCCCCUGGAGCUUGAGUUAUAGGCAGUUGUGAGCUGCCCAUUUGUGGGUGCUAGAAUCUAAACUCAGGUCCUCUGGAAGUGUUCUUAACCACUGAGAUUUCUCUCCAUUCCCAAGAUCAGAAAAAAAGAAAAAAAGAAAGAUUCUCCAGGUUCUAAUUUAGAAGGCAUGUUAAUAGGUCAAUCGGUGCUAAUCUCAUACAAAUAAUUGUGAAAAGAAGAAAUGGGAAAUUCCUCAGUUCUCUAUUUUGUCUUAUAAUGAGCAGGUGAUGGGAGAGGCUUGUUCUUUGCUGUCUUCUUUUUCUUUAAUUCUCACCAUGGUUUCUUCAGGAAGAGCUUGUGUGCAAAUGCAGUUGACUGCAAAGGACUGGUACAGCUGGAAUGGAGGUGUACUGUAGGAGGAAAGUGGAAAAUGCUCAUGUCCCUCAUGCAUCUCUCUUUGGUGGCCUUUGAUGCACUUUUGAGCAUUUACUGGGAGCCUGAAGAACUUAUCCCAGUCUGAUAUAUAAAGCAACAAGCUUUCCUCUGAGAAGUAAAUCCACAUAUCUUUUGAGUAGUACCAGUAUUUAGAAAUAACCCUCCUAAGACAUGGCAAGCAUACACCUGGGCUCAGGAGUUUACAAUUUCUAUCAAGACAAUGUUGAUUUUAACCCUCCUGGUAAAAUGAUUAUGCUGUCAUAUUUUCACAGGGAAAAUCUGUUGGAGCCAGUUUUAACACAUCAUUACCCAUAAUUAAGGCCACAAAAGAUUUAUUCAAGGGCUUUUACAGAGGGUUCAGUAUUUUGCAUAUAGCAGUGGUUCAUUUUUAACACCAGAAAGGGUAAUUUCCAGCUUGGUAACCUGGAACCAAAGGUUACGGCAUCCAGGUAACAGGAGGAAUAGAGCCACCUGAGUUAUCAUGCAGUAAAAGGAUAAACUAUCUGGAGUUUUAAGUCCUGGAAGAACAAAGAAAGCUUUGAAAGUAGAUGUUGAAGCAGACGUUUAGAACUAAAUUGUCUUCAAGAAACAAUAUCAAGACUGUAAUUGAACUCCACUGAGGUUCUGAUUUUAGUGCAACCUAGUUCCAAACCAAUUAUUUUCUGUUCAAACCAAUCAGUUGGUAGGUGUGUAGGGCCUUCAUGUAAUUUGUAAGGUUCAGUUAAAAAUGAAACUGUAAUGCCUCCUUGUUCUAAAAACACUAACAAUAUUCUGUGAAUGGGGCUAAAAUAGAAAAAAAUUCUUUUAUGUUUUUUCUGACUUAUCAUAGUAUUUCUAUUUAAUACAAUCCUAGGUAAAAAUAUCAAAGUUAUAAAACAGCAUGAAUUUUAGAGGUCAUAUACAAUGCUCCUACUAACCCAAACUCAUCGCCAUUUAAUCCUUGUGUAGAAUCACCAAAAUUACAGAAUUUGUAUGUUGUAGUCAUGCAAGGCUAUGUGUUUUGUUCUGAGCCAUGGAAGCCUUCCUCAAAACAACACAAUCCUUUUAACUGUGAUUUGCACACAUCCUAUUAAUGUGCUAUUUUGUCUUUUCCUUUCCUUCCGUGCCCACAUUUAGCUUACGGAGAAAAGUAACAUGACUGAGAAAUGGUGACAGGCUUCCUUUCCCAUUUCUGGUUCUGAGAACACCAUUGGCUCCUUUCUGUAUUUGAGACAAUUUCUGAUUCAAGUGGAGACUGAGUGUCCCUCAGCUGUGAGCUUUCCCUCCCAGUUUAACAGAGCUGUACCUGUGGUGCUAGGUACCAACAUGGAUAGAAAGUCUCUUUUGAAGUUGAGAAUAAAGGCUGAUGAGAAAAAAAAAAUCUUGUACUGAUGACCAGGACUUGGAGGGUAACAGUUCUCUGGGUCCUGUAUUCUUGACACAGGACUUGCAAAACACACUGGCUAUGCUGACCAAGGACCUUUCCAGCUCCAAAGCCACUGACUCACGCUCCUGAGCAGCUGGUUUCCCACAGGAAAGGAGGUAGGUAGGGCAGUUUAAGGAUGCAUUUAUUUUAAAGACUCAUAAAAGAAAUUGCCUUGGCAUGAAUGAAAUGAGUAAGAGGAUUGUGACUCCCUAGUUGGGAGAGAUUAUCUUCGAUUUCGCAAGGAAUCCCUCUGCAGAGUCAGUCAAAUAAAUAAACCGAAGGAGCACCGGCAGCUGGCAAUUCUACUGAGAAGCAACAAGACCUCUCAAAGAUUGCGGGGCCUUUGUCAAGUCAUGGAAGUUGGAGAAGGACGGAAGACCCGUAAGAAUCACGAGGCUCGGGAUGACAACUGUGAGCAGAAGCGAUUGGCGCCUGGAGUGAACAUGCUCUCAUUGUCUUGGCAUCGAGUCCAGAUGAUGGGAGUGUGAGAUCGUCUUGAGGAUGGGAAUAACGCUAAGCCUGGAGGAGAGAGAGUAAACUAGAAAGAAAUAAAAUUGAGACGCGGCACAUAAUAUGCUAUUUCUUGAACACUCAAGUUUGUAUAUUGAAAAUUGUAGCUGUCACAUGACAGAAAUGGUGCAAAUAGCCACAUUAAUAUAAUAUAUGGGAAUUAAAUAUUGUUUUUUCUGGGGAAAUGAGAUUUAAUAGAAAAUAAUUUUUGCAUUGACAGCUUUACAUAUUUAUUUCACCUGUAACUGCUUUCCCUCUGUUAAAGGAGUGCGCUGUUUAUUUCUGUCAUUUAAGGAACAUUUAUUUCUGUUCUAUAAACACAAAUAUUUAGCAGCAAUGUAUAAAAAAUGAGUUCUAGUCAACUGCAUAAAUGACAAUGGUACUGUGCUUCAUCUUGUAAUUCACAAACUUACUAAAAAUUAUACAAAUGUGGCAUGAUACAAUAUAAAGUCAAAAUUUCUAAAGUAGUUGUAAAGUCAUAGAUGUCUAUUUGUAUAAAAUGAUAAUGUUUAACAUAUCCUUGAAUUCUCAGAACACUUCCAUAAAGCAAUUGUUUUUACUUUCUGUGGUUGAUAAUUAAAAUAUGUCUGAAACAUCUGAGGGAUACACAAUAUUAAAACAUUUUGAAGUCUUUGAAAAUCACAGUCAAGACUUUUAUGGAAAAGUAAAGAAGUAUGAGCUCAUUACUUAUGUGUCACAGUCUGAGGUGACUGCAGGAUAUCUUCUACCCCACAUUCCUUUAAAAAACCAAUAUCAAAUUAAUAUACAUAUAUAUAUAUAUUAAUCUGAGGAGAGCAUUUAAUGUUUAUCACAAAUUUACGUAAUUGCAUUAUAUAAGAUUUUACUGCCUAUUUUUCAACACCCUUUACUUUCAUAUGUCUUUCUUUGUCUUUUGUAAAUCAUAACCUGGGGCUGAGUCCCUGGACAAGAAGCACCAUCUUCUGACAUCACCUUAAUAAACAUUCCAUGUUAGGCAUGUCUCUUCUGCCUCUGUCACCAUCAGGUGCAGACGCAGUCGUUUUAGUGUCUAUUUUUGUCCAACAUGCUUCUUGUUUGCUUUGCUAGUCACAGCAGGUUAUCUUUGCAUUCAUUUUGCUGACUCUCACUUUUCCUCUUGCUCUGUAUAAUGCACACACAACACAGUCCAGCCUUUUUAGCCAGCAGAGUGUGAAUCACAGAACAACGUGAAAGGCUUGUCUUUCACUGCAGCUGUGACCCAACUUCCUUCCCGGUUGUUCUAAGUGCCCACUUUGUUUUCUACCCCUUUCCUUUCUUUCCACAUCCCUCACCAAUGAUGAUAUUUUGCUUGUCCAUGCUUAACUGCCUUUUGAGGCUCUUCUUUUCCUAUAUUUUCUGUAAGGACAACUCAAUUCAUUUCCACAGAAACGAAUUUAUUUAUUUAUUUAUUUAUUUAUUUAUUUAUUUAUUUAUGUUCUGGUAUUGCAACUUGUGUCACAGAUACAGCAUAGAAUUCACUGUUCAUUUGGAUUAUAAUUACUCAUCGACACACUUUGGGUAGGAGGAUGCUAAAACCUAGGAUAAAACGUUAAUAUGCUUUCAUGUCAUUAAAUCUUUGGAUAAAAGAACCGACUUUUGUGUACUUAACAAAUGGCUUUGAUGAAAAAGGAGUGUAUAAGAACAAGUGAAAAGGAUACAAAAAUUGCACAAAAUCAAGAGUAUGGAGAUGUGGCCAGGCAAACCAUUCUGUAAAAGCUACGUUGUAAAUAUGUUUGCCUUUGUAGGUCAUAGUCAAUGUAAACUUCAUCAUUUUAUUAAAGAAGCAGCCAGUGACAAUAUACAAGUGUCUGUAAGUGUGUGUGUGCUUGCACACACAUGUGUGUGUAUGUGUGUGUAAUAUCUAGUUUCAACAAAUAUCCUAAUGAAGUAAAAAAAUAUCACCUGGUCUUUGCAUAAAUGUCACAAUUGGUAGAAUCAGUGUUUGAUAUUUCUCCAUCAAUUCAAUUCAUUUCCAUUUUGCUGCUGGAUGAUUUCACGAUGUCUCUUACUUCAUAUUCACCAUGUCUAAAGUAUAAGUAAUUCUCUUGUGCCAAACAACAGUGUUAUUUAUUUCAAAGACUGGAUCUUCCCCCUGGACUGUAACAUCUAAAUCCAU
rnacentral:lncRNA from 1 species